CAGACUAGAUUGGCUGAAUGGUUCUUAUCUGCCGUCACAUUCUAUGUUUCUAUAUGUCAUCUGUCCACUUUCGAUAUUGCACUAUAUUUUCUUGUGAGUUUAUGAAUAAUGCUUUAUUGCUUAAGAAAGCAGAAGCCCUUAACCUUUUAUUGCCACUUGAUUUAAUAUAACAUACUGCUCCAUGUAAAGAAUGAGAUGUAUCGUAUACAAGCAUGCUGACGCAUUUCACAACAACGUGACUAUUAUUUCUUUUGUCAGGAAUUUUCUCAAGUCUUAGAAAUUCUUAAUUGCAUUUCUCCUUUGUUCCAGUUUAAACACUGUCCUUAAUGGCAGGGCACAAUUGG